UUCUCUCUGGCAGAUAAAGUGCACUAAAGUUAGAAUUUAGAUAUGAUGGAUUAUUGGGAGAAA
rnacentral:tRNA from 1 species